rnacentral:rRNA from 1 species
CGGCCGCGUCGACACGGAAGUCUGACCGAGCAACGCCGCGUGAGGCAGCAGUAGGGAAUCUUCGGCAAUGGACGGAAGUCUGACCGAGCAACGCCGCGUGAGUGAAGAAGGUUUUCGGAUCGUAAAGCUCUGUUGUAAGAGAAGAACGAGUGUGAGAGUGGAAAGUUCACACUGUGACGGUAUCUUACCAGAAAGGGACGGCUAACUACGUGCCAGCAGCCGCGGUAAUACGUAGGUCCCGAGCGUUGUCCGGAUUUAUUGGGCGUAAAGCGAGCGCAGGCGGUUAGAUAAGUCUGAAGUUAAAGGCUGUGGCUUAACCAUAGUACGCUUUGGAAACUGUUUAACUUGAGUGCAAGAGGGGAGAGUGGAAUUCCAUGUGUAGCGGUGAAAUGCGUAGAUAUAUGGAGGAACACCGGUGGCGAAAGCGGCUCUCUGGCUUGUAACUGACGCUGAGGCUCGAAAGCGUGGGGAGCAAACAGGAUUAGAUACCCUGGUAGUCCACGCCGUAAACGAUGAGUGCUAGGUGUUAGACCCUUUCCGGGGUUUAGUCG